UCAGUUAACAGUUGACAAAUCAACAAAUCACAACAAUCCAACAAUCAACAAUUUACUAAAGUGAAAAACUUAUCAAACUCAAUCAAUCAAAAUGGUUUCAAAAGUUGUUCUUAUCUGUGUCCUCCUCAUCUCCGUUGGUGUUAUCAUGGAAGCUCAAGCUGGAAACAAGGGUUCAAACAUUGUUCUCCAAGGAGGAUUUGGUGACAAGCUCGUUCUCCAAACUGGCAAGAAAGGUAAAGGAGCCAAUAUUGUAAGCAAAGAUGGAUUCGGUGGUGAAAUUAUCCUUAACACUGAUAGAAGACGAUAAGUCAAUCAAAUCAAUGGUUAACGAGUUAACAACAAUCAACUGAGUGUCACAAUCAUCAACAUAUCAUGAGAAACUCAAAUCAUCUGGUUAUGUCUUUGAGUAUAAAUUAUAUUUAUUUAUUAUUCGUAAUCAACCCAAUCAAUCAACUGACCAACAAUUAGCCUCAAAAAUGACGAUAAACAUCAGUAUAAGGAUUUACCUUCCCUCCCCAACCUAACCCACUCUCUAACCAACACCCAAUCCCCACUAAAAUCUGAUCCUCCUAAUAAUCAAUCUUAAUUUUCUCAACUUUUCUUAAUCACUACAACUCUUCAUUUCCUAUUUAUAUUUCAAUGUGAACUCAACUCUCGUUUAAAAACCAUUUUGAUCAAUUAAACUAAUUAUUUAUUUUCUAAAACAAUUAUACA